UUGGUACCUUUGGGGUAAUAAAUUCUUUGGGGUAAUUGAAAAAAAUUCGCCCAAAGGUUUGUACUAAUUUCAACCUGUUAUGUUAAUGUUAUCAUUUUGUGGUUUUAAUAUGAUAUACAGCUAGAUAAUAUCUCCCCAAAACGCUUCCAAACAUUUAAAUCGGACAACUAUUUGAACAAUUAUCGGUUUAUGAAAUAUGACCGUCUGUAAAGUGCAUAUCUAGCUGGAGUUAUAAACGGGCGUUUGGGCUAAUUCGCCUUUUUUGGUUUUCCACCAAAAAAACUGAUAUAUAUCACUUAUAUUAUUAUUUGAGUAAAGUGGUGGGAACUUUCUGCAGUUUUCGAUUAAUUUUCUCCAAGAAAUUGUAAGAAAUAGAAAAAAUAUUCGACAUAUAUAUGAGUAGCACGUCUGAAAUUUCACAUAUAUUCUUUCGAAGAUCUUAUUCGGAACACCUUUGGAUUCAUUCGCUUCGAUUAAAUAGGACAAAAUGGCAGCUUGCAGGGGCCAGCUGAAGGACACCUCUGGGUGCGGGAAUUUUUCGAUACAGUGAAGACCUGUUGGUGAGCUUCUGCUGUUGUUUUUAUCCAAGGGGUUUUUACUCAUCAGAUGCAUGAUUCAGAUCAAUACAGUGGUGUCUGCAUAAAAAAAGUUGAUGGGAGAAUGAUGUUUAUCAAAGGUAGGGUUUGAACUGGGUAAGAGAAUGACA